GGAUCCAGACUUUGAUUCUGGCUCAGGAUGAACGCUAGCUACAGGCUUAACACAUGCAAGUCGAGGGGAAACGAUAGAGAAAGCUUGCUUUUUCUAGGCGUCGACCGGCGCACGGGUGAGUAACGCGUAUCCAACCUGCCCAUCACUUGGGGAUAACCUUGCGAAAGUAAGACUAAUACCCAAUGACGUCUCUAGAAGACAUCUGAAAGAGAUUAAAGAUUUAUCGGUGAUGGAUGGGGAUGCGUCUGAUUAGCUUGUUGGCGGGGUAACGGCCCACCAAGGCGACGAUCAGUAGGGGUUCUGAGAGGAAGGUCCCCCACAUUGGAACUGAGACACGGUCCAAACUCCUACGGGAGGCAGCAGUGAGGAAUAUUGGUCAAUGGGCGAGAGCCUGAACCAGCCAAGUAGCGUGCAGGAAGACGGCCCUAUGGGUUGUAAACUGCUUUUAUAAGGGAAUAAAGUGAGUCUCGUGAGACUUUUUGCAUGUACCUUAUGAAUAAGGACCGGCUAAUUCCGUGCCAGCAGCCGCGGUAAUACGGAAGGUCCGGGCGUUAUCCGGAUUUAUUGGGUUUAAAGGGAGCGUAGGCCGGAGAUUAAGCGUGUUGUGAAAUGUAGACGCUCAACGUCUGCACUGCAGCGCGAACUGGUUUCCUUGAGUACGCACAAAGUGGGCGGAAUUCGUGGUGUAGCGGUGAAAUGCUUAGAUAUCACGAAGAACUCCGAUUGCGAAGGCAGCUCACUGGAGCGCAACUGACGCUGAAGCUCGAAAGUGCGGGUAUCGAACAGGAUUAGAUACCCUGGUAGUCCGCACGGUAAACGAUGGAUGCCCGCUGUUGGUCUGAA
rnacentral:rRNA from 1 species